CGUUUGACCUCGGGAUCAGGUAGGGAUACCCGCUGAACUUAAGCAUAUCAAUAAGCGGAGGAAAAGAAACCAACAGGGAUUGCCCUGGUAACGGCGAGUGAAGCGGCAACAGCUCAAAUUUGAAAUCUGGCUCUUUUAGAGUCCGAGUUGUAAUUUGCAGAGGGCGCUUUGGCUUUGGCAGCGGUCCAAGUUCCUUGGAACAGGACGUCACAGAGGGUGAGAAUCCCGUACGUGGUCGCUAGCUAUUGCCGUGUAAAGCCCCUUCGACGAGUCGAGUUGUUUGGGAAUGCAGCUCUAAAUGGGAGGUAAAUUUCUUCUAAAGCUAAAUAUUGGCCAGAGACCGAUAGCGCACAAGUAGAGUGAUCGAAAGAUGAAAAGCACUUUGGAAAGAGAGUCAAACAGCACGUGAAAUUGUUGAAAGGGAAGCGCUUGCAGCCAGACUUGCUUGCAGUUGCUCAUCCGGGCUUUUGCCCGGUGCACUCUUCUGCAGGCAGGCCAGCAUCAGUUUGGGCGGUGGGAUAAAGGUCUCUGACACGUUCCUUCCUUCGGGUUGGCCAUAUAGGGGAGACGUCAUACCACCAGCCUGGACUGAGGUCCGCGCAUCUGCUAGGAUGCUGGCGUAAUGGCUGUAAGCGGCCCGUCUUGAAACACGGACCAAGGAGUCUAACAUCUAUGC
rnacentral:rRNA from 1 species